CUGUGUGUGCUAUAGGAGCUGUCAAGUUAGUACAGUCCCUGUGUGUGCUGUAAGAGCUGUCAAGUUAGUACAGUCCCUGUGUGUGCUGUAAGAGCUGUCAGGUUAGUACAGUCCCUGUGUGUGCUGUAAGAGCUGUCAGGUUAGUACAGUCCCUGUGUGUGCUGUAAGAGCUGUCAGGUUAGUACAGUCCCUGUGUGUGCUGUAAGAGCUGUCAAGUUAGUACAGUCCCUGUGUGUGCUGUAAGAGCUGUCAGGUUAGUACAGUCCCUGUGUGUGCUGUAAGAGCUGUCAGGUUAGUACAGUCCCUGUGUGUGCUGUAAGAGCUGUCAAGUUAGUACAGUCCCUGUGUGUGCUGUAAGA